GAUGAACGCUAGCGGCAGGCUUAAUACAUGCAAGUCGAACGGGAUCCGAGGUAGCAAUACUUUGGUGAGAGUGGCGCACGGGUGCGUAACGCGUAUGCAACCUACCUUUAACGGGGACACAACCCGCCGAAAGGCUGGCUAAUAUCCCAUAACAUUGCGAUGUGGCAUCACAUUGCAAUUAAAGCUCCGGCGGUUAUAGAUGGGCAUGCGUGACAUUAGCUAGUUGGUAAGGUAACGGCUUACCAAGGCUUCGAUGUCUAGGGGUUCUGAGAGGAUUAUCCCCCACACUGGUACUGAGACACGGACCAGACUCCUACGGGAGGCAGCAGUAAGGAAUAUUGGGCAAUGGACGCAAGUCUGACCCAGCCAUGCCGCGUGAAGGAUGAAGGCCCUAUGGGUUGUAAACUUCUUUUAUACGGGAAAAAACCUUCGGUCGUGAACCGGAGCUGAUGGUACCGUAAGAAUAAGCAUCGGCUAACUCCGUGCCAGCAGCCGCGGUAAU
rnacentral:rRNA from 1 species